GGCGGACUCCCAACCACUGCACCACCAGGGAAGCCCUCUCCAGAAGAAAAUAGUGGGCACAAGUCAUUGGAGCACGUGCAUAUGAAUGUGAUAAAACGCAGUGGUCUGCAUAGCCAAGAUAACAUGGAAUGAAUGACAAAACAAAUUUCUCCAAAGGAAGAGAAGAGCUGUGAGAUCCGGAGAGGACCGGCAGGUGAAAUGUCUAGACGGGGGACACAGGGAGCCACUGCCUGCUCUGCCGUGUUGAAUCAUCACGUUGACUACAUGCCAGGCACUGUAUUAUAAUAUCGUCACACCACUGUCCCAGUGUCCCCAAGUGAUAGGCUAACAACCAAGAGGAGAUAAAAGAUAAAAUAAGAGGUAGAAUUAUGGUGGAACAUGAAACAGAUCAAUCAAUGAAAGCAACUAUGUGAAUUGUGGAAUAUAAGUUCUCUUUGUGCUCUAUCAAAGUAAAAUUUGCAAAAAAUUUGACCAAGGUAAAAAAUUUAUGAAAAAAAUAAAGAGAAAAAAAUCUAUGAAAACUGUCUAAUGCAGAGCUUCUACUAAUACCUGAGUCAGACUUCACCCCUCUCCAAACAUUGUAACUAUUCUACAUUGGCUGGUGACUCUGAUUUCUAAAAAUGAAAAAUAUUUUGUUUUUACAUUCUGUGGCUUUUGUAUAACUAGAGAGGGUACAUUUGAGAGAGAGAGAGGAGAGACAGAAGAGAGAGGACAGAAGAAGAGAGGGAAGGAUGUAACAUGACUGAGAUGUAUUGAUAGAUUUUUAUUCUUCUAUUGAAUGACAGCCAUACAAUCAGAACAGCAGUGAGAUGCUUCCUCCUAAGUUGGAAAAAGGAGAAAUAAGGCUUGCCAUCUGUGGGAGUAGGCCUGGAGACCGUCAAUAGGUGCUUGAAGUGUUUGGGAACACGAAAAGCUCCAGUUAAGGUCACCUGGGUGUAAUUUCAAGCAGGCAGUUCUAGAAUGUGAUUUUAAUUUAGUAAUGGGAACCCAAUUGUAUUGUACUUCAUAUGGAGAAAGAGUUGAAUGCACAGAAGACAGUUCAGUCUGGAGAGAAAGAAAGGGAAACUACAACUGGGCAGUCCAGAGACCGGGAAUUAGGAGACACAGAUACUCAAUCACUGCAGCAUAUAUUGGGGCAAUGAUCCUUCAUCCCACAGCCCCACCUCUAGCAUGAAUAGGAGAUUUUGCUUAAGAUCAUGCAUAUUUCCAUUUGUUUUUAUUUUCUGCUCACUAAGUAGCAUUUUCAUCAUGAACUGUUCUGCUAAUGAGAAGGUAAUACCCUGGAUGGGAAAAAUAUCAUUAUUCUAGAACCUGGAAGGAGUGUCUUUCCCAGAAUAAGUGAAGGAAGGGACAGUCUAAUUGGACUGAUAAACUUCAAUCUCCUGUGAGUUUGAUUAGCUUGAUUAGUCUUUCCAGGACUGAUGAUGGAGAGACGCUGACAAGGUAAGAGCCAGAUCCAGAACUGUAUCACCUGUGAGGCCCAUUGGUGGACGGGAAGCUGGCCUUCCUCUGGAAAGCACUCUGCUGUUAACUACAUUGAAUACUUAACACUGCUGGGUCAUCAUUUAGGAACAAUACAUAUAGAUGGGAUAAGGCUUAUCAGUAUAUGCAUAUUUCCAACCUUGCUCCUUCCCUGACACUAAAAAGGACUCUAGCUUGGCCUAUUCAGUGCUGUUUCUUUUCCCCACUCUGCAAAUCGUAGUCCUGAUUUGUUUGAAUGGUUUUUGUGAUGGAGGGUUGAGAGGAAAAGGUGGGGAAUUGGGGAGCAAAAAGACAAGAUAUGCUUGUGUAGGGAUUUAAAGGAGAUUAGUGGUGGUCUGUGAGAGAAAUGGAUUGAGGAGAGAAAUAAGUAGUCAUCAAGGUCUGUGUAUCAGCUUCAUGGAGUUUGAAGUGACACAAGUAAAAUACUUUUUAUACUGAAAUUAUUUUAGUUGGAUGAAAUAGAAUGCAUUUUUUUAACCCACACAUUUUCUUCCUUUCUUUCUU